GACGAACGCUGGCGGCGUGCUUAACACAUGCAAGUCGAACGGAAAGGCCCCUUUGGGGGUCCUCGAGUGGCGCACGGGUGCGUAACACGUGAGUAACCUGCCCUUGACUUCGGGAUAACUUCAGGAAACUGGGGCUAAUACCGGAUAGGAAUCCUUGCUGCAUGGUGGGGGUUGGAAAGCUUCGGCGGCUUUGGAUGGACUCGCGGCUUAUCAGCUUGUUGGUGGGGUAGUGGCUUACCAAGGCUUUGACGGGUAGCCGGCCAGAGAGGGCGACCGGCCACAUUGGGACUGAGAUACGGCCCAGACUCCGACGGGAGGCAGCAGUGGGGAAUAUUGCACAAGGGGCGGAAGCCGGAUGCAGCAACGCCGCGGGCGGGAUGACGGCCUUCGGGUUGAAAACCGCUUUCAGCAGGAGCGAAGCUUGUGGUGACGGUACCUGCAGAAGAAGCACCGGCUAACUACGUG
rnacentral:rRNA from 1 species